CCGCACAAGCGGUGGAGUAUGUGUUUAAUUCGACGCAACGCGCAGAACCUUACCUAGACUUGACAUCCCGGGGAUUUUCUGGAAACAGAGAAGUGCUUUAGCAAUAAAGAACCCGGUGACAGGUGCUGCAUGGCUGUCGUCAGCUCGUGUCGUGAGAUGUUGGGUUAAGUCCCGCAACGAGCGCAACCCUCGCCUUUAGUUGCCAGCAUUCAGUUGGGCACUCUAGAGGGACUGCCGGUGUCAAACCGGAGGAAGGUGGGAUGACGUCAAGUCCUCAUGGCCUUUAUGUCUAGGGCUACACACGUACUACAAUGGCCGGUACAAAGGGCAGCCACUCAGCGAUGAGGCGCUAAUCCCAUAAAGCCGGUCUCAGUCCGGAUCGCAGUCUGCAACUCGACUGCGUGAAGUUGGAAUCGCUAGUAAUCGUAGAUCAGCAUGCUACGGUGAAUACGUUCCCGGGCCUU
rnacentral:rRNA from 1 species